AGAAUCAACGCUGGCGGCGUGCCUAACACAUGCAAGUCGAACGAGAAAGUGGGAGCAAUCCCACGAGUAAAGUGGCGCACGGGUGAGUAACACGUGACUAACCUACCCUUGAGUGGGGGGAUAACCUAGGGAAACCUGGGCUAAUACCGCAUAAUACCUACGGGUCAAAGGAGCAAUUCGCUUUAGGAGGGGGUCGCGGCAGAUUAGUUAGUUGGCGGGGUAAUGGCCCACCAAGACAGUGAUCUGUAUCCGGCCUGAGAGGGCGCACGGACACACUGGAACUGAAACACGGUCCAGACUCCUACGGGAGGCAGCAGUGGGAAUUUGCGCAAUGGGGGAAACCCUGACGCAGCAACGCCGCGUGGAGGAUGAAGCCCCUUGGGGCGUAAACUCCUUUCGAUCGGGAAGAUAAUGACGGUACCGGAAGAAGAACGCCCCGGCUAACGUUCGCGCCAGCAGCCGC
rnacentral:rRNA from 1 species